CGUCGAAUGCUGUGGCAGAGCAGGGAAGAGAGUGGAUGGAUGGGCUGCUUUGAUCCAGGCCACACGGGGAUGAAUUGGAAAGUUCAGGGAAGUGACUGCAGUGUAGGAGCCAGGAUCCCAAGUUUUUUCUUUUACUUUAAUGUUGAAUACAUCACUUACAUUUUUAGUCCUCCGUUCUUUCGGAACAUAUAUAUUUCACUUUAUAAUGGUUGGCAGGGCUUAGAGACUGCUAAGAGACAUUUGUAGAUUUAUAGGGUAAAAUUAAGAGAGCCUCAAAACUAAGAAUUAGUAAUGCUGAAAUCGUUAGGCUUCUGCUCUCCUCUUGCUUUAAUAAACUGUAUCUAUUGUUGUUGUUUUUUCUCUGCAAAUUGCAGAGUGCCAGGCAUAUAGAAAAAAAAAGAAAGCAUAAUAAAUAUUUGUUGAAGUAAUGCAUCUUUCUCGAGGACAGAGAUUAUAUAUAUUUUUUCUUUCUAUGCUUCUCCAUGACUGCUACUCAGGUGUUUUAUACACCGUGGACAUUCAAUAACUGUAAAAUAUAAAAGUGUUUAUAUAAUUGAGGAACAGACAUGGCCAAGCUGACAGAUUCUUUCAUUCAGUCACUGAGUAAUGGGUACAUUCACUGAACACUGUGCUAGUGUGAGGAUUUUUCAUCUAAUGGUGAUUUUAGCAAGAGUUUCGUGUCCUUAUGCCUUUGUAUAGGCUGGCCAACUCUUAGUAAUUCUUCAACUCCCAGCUCACAUGUCACUUACUUUUUUGGCAUUCCAGACUGGGUUGGGUGCUUGUCCUUUGACUAACCGUAUGGUGAUUCGCCUGUGUUCCUUUCCAGACAGAGCUCCACGCACGAGAGCGGAACUGAGUCACUCACCUUUAUGUCCCUAGCACCAAGCCCAGGACCUUGUUUGUAGAUGUCUCUUGAUGAGAGUUUGUUGAGAAGCAGGAUGAAGGAGUGACUGAAAGAGCCUGACUUCCUGCUAUGAAAGAGGAGAGAACAGAGUUGCAGCAAGCUGCUCAGAAAUUUCACAUCACCAGCAACCUCUGACAACCAAGUGGGAGGGACUGCUGCUGAUGGACCAUUGACAGCUGUGAAGAUUCUAAAUCACUGAAGCGCUUGACAAAAGAAAGUUUGUAGAUGAUCUGAAAAUUCGUGUAGGUCCGUGAGAGUAUACUGAGCACAACCAUGUUGUUGCUUCAUGUGUCACUGAGAAGUUUACGAGCUACUGUUUUGGAGUAAGAAAUAGCACAGAAGGAUUCAGCUUCAGCCUGAAAUGGGUUAUUAAGCCACUGGCCAUCAAAAACGUAGAUAGCAUCAUGUUUCACCUUGACCUAGAUGUGUAAUGGAAGAUGCACCGAAUUUCUUCACUGAAGUUAAACUUUAAUGCAUUUUUAGGUAGAACUCUAAAGUAUCAAAAGACAUUUUAUCAUAAUUAAUAUACAUUUCUUGACAAGGUAAGAAUUUAUUUUUCUUGAGACACCAAGACUGCUGAAGAAGAAACCUCUGUUAUACAACCCCAUACCAUUUGAUUGUUGAGGAAUGGGGGAGGUCUUCAGAAAGGAUGGGAAUACUUUGAGGGUGAGCACCAUGUGUUUAUUGUUGCUUGGAGUGGACCCUUUGUUGCUAAAUGAAGUAGGAUGUGGUUAGUCAUUUGAUUCUAGCUAAAUUAGAUUGUCCAUGGGAAUCAGCUUCUCUGGCUUAAAACUGAGACCUUACACACCAUUUCAUAAACACUGAAAAAGAAGUCUCUUUCUCUAGAUAAAUGUUAAUAGAGCAAGGAUUUUGGAGAUUCUAAUUAAUGCCUUACAUUGGUAUAGAUCUUACAUAUUUCAUACUUUGAAAAAAUACUAUUUCAUAACCUGACAACAGCAGCCAAUACAGAAAAAUCAAAGAAAGAUUCACAUGCAGUGAGUAGUAUUCCUACAGCAGGAAAUAAUUAUGGUCAGCAAUGUGGGAGUAGUCAUCCCAAAGUUAGCUGACUACAGUGGAUUAAGUUCACAUCUGGCUAAUAGACACUAUCCAAAAAUGAUUCUGGGAAUGGAGGGAGGCGUUUGACAGUGCUAUGAUUUUGUCCUGUCUUUGUGAACAUCAGCUGACAGUGUUUUCAUCGAUGCUUUCAUUAUGACAUCAUUUUAUGGACAAACAAUUUGUGGACCAAAAGAUCUGAGAAUCCCUGGGGUAAAGGGAAGUGUGACAGACAUUCAUGGUCUUGUAUUCUCAGUGAGUAAACUAUGGUUUUUAAGCAGUUCCUAGGGCCCGAGAAAUAGUUGGUCAUGACCCAGGCCUCCAGCCUCCAGCCUCCAGCCUCCAGCCUGAGCUUUCUCGAGGUGGAGUUGGGGACGUCUGGUCCCACAUGUCCCUAAUACAGUAGAGCAAAUAAGGUUAAUAUGGCAGGAGAUGCUCUUGAACUGAACUCUUUAAUGGAGAAUGUGUGAGGAACCUGAAGGUAAAGAGACUGAUGUCCCAUUUCAUUGGUUCCAAUUAAUUCCCUGUUAUAGCAUUGGCAUGCAUGAGGCAUAAGCAUAACUUUGCUCUGGAAAAAAAAUAAUAAAUUCAGAAAAUUCUUAUGCCUGCAUGCAUAAGCCUUCAUGGUUAUAUUUUAAGCAUUAUAUGGAAAGAUACACUUUUAGCUCCGUCGAUAGAUAGUUAUAGAUUUAGAUACACAUUUACAUAUACAUAUAUAAAACUACAUGCACAUAUAAGCAUACUCAUCUAUACAUAUAUAUAUAUAAAAUUAUCCAUCGUGGACAUCCAACCUACCUUCUCUGUAUUAACUCUCUCAGGAUUCUGGAUGUUAUCUAAACUGGGUUUAUUUCCUUCCAUCAUGCCUUUAUUUUGAAUUUCCAUUACUGCCCCAGUCCAGUAUCCCUACUUCUCUGUACUUCUUUAACACUGCUGAAAAAGGUAUGGUUACAUUUCUGAGAGAUUUCACUUGACAAUGAUUCCAUCCUCUGCUAGUUUUCAGGACUUUGUUUUCACCUUUCUUUUUUGCAUUCCAUUCCAUCUUGUGUCAUCAUCAUUUGUGUAGAUGCUCAAAGGUACAGAGUGCACUUAAAUAUAAGUUAAAUUUUGAGCGAUUUGUAAGCUUUUAUUGCAGGCAACUGUGCCUGUGAAAGACUAAGCUGAUCAAUAUUUUUCAGUUAGUUAAGUUGGCCUCUCUUUUUGAGACUGAACACACUAACCAAGAUAGCAUAUGCAUAGAUGUAGAGUCAGGUAAUGUAAGGGCUAUGUAAAAGAAAUGGUGGUAUUUUAAAUGGUUAUAUUUGCAAAUUGAUCUCCAGUGUCAUAAUGCCUCCCUUUGGCAAUACUAUGCCUAGACCUCAAAAUAAAAAAGUUUGGUAUCUUCUAUAUGUCUCGUAAGGACAGUGCUUUAUGGCCUACUGAAAUUACUCUAACUAAAUUCAUUUCACUUUUGAGCUACAUGAUGUCAAAUUGUGCUGAACAUAAAGAAAUAAAUGGUAUUCUCUUGAUUUAUGACACUCUUACAUCUAAAUGGACCUGUGGAGGAGAGACUAUUCCCUGAGCACUGCCAGACCUUCCAACUAGGCCUGGGGCAGAGCAGAGAUUGCUUCCCCUAGAUCCCCUCGGAGACUAUCUGCCCCCCCUCCCCUAGGCCCCACAGCAUGCUGGUUUGUGUUGGUUCCACCCCUGGCAAGCGUAAUAGUUGGGCAAGCACGACAAGCAUUGUCCCCUUAUCUGAGGUGGGUUAUCCCCAGCACCCCUCUCCAUCCUGUCCUGUCCUGUAUAACCCCUUCGUGCCUGUCCCGUCGCACAAGGACACCUAUGUCGUCUUGCUGCUGCCUGGGACACAAUUUGUGUGUAAAUUCCCUUAAUAAACUCUUAAUGUAGUGAUAGAAUGGGCACCCUUUUCCUCCAGUCUCUGGGAAAUUUUAUGUAGCAGAACCAUUUCAACAUCAAACACCUUUCACUUAUCAAACGUAAGCAGAGCAUGAGGUUCUUUUGGCCGCUACUAAUUUGUAGGUCUGCCUGUUCACAAGAUGUAUAUUACUCCCUCAGGAGCCUGUCCCACGUGAAUAAUGUGGACAUUACUGACUCCUAAUAAAAAGCAUUAAAGUACUGCACACUCAAAUAUUA